ACGGCGAGUGAAGCGGGAAGAGCUCAAAUUUGAAAUCUGGCAGUCUUCGAUUGUCCGAGUUGUAAUCUAUAGAGGCGUUUUCCGUGCCGGACCGUGUCCAAGUCUCCUGGAAAGGAGUAUCAAAGAGGGUGAUAAUCCCGUACUUAACACGACCACCGGUGCUCUGUGAUACGUCUUCUACGAGUCGAGUUGUUUGGGAAUGCAGCUCAAAAUGGGUGGUGAAUUCCAUCUAAAGCUAAAUAUUGGCGAGAGACCGAUAGCGAACAAGUACCGUGAGGGAAAGAUGAAAAGCACUUUGGAAAGAGAGUUAAACAGUACGUGAAAUUGUUGAAAGGGAAACGAUUGAAGUCAGUCGUGUUCUUUGGAUUCAGCCAGUUCUGCUGGUCUACUUCCUUGGAACGGGUCAACAUCAGUUUUGUCCGGUGGAUAAAGGUAGUAGGAAUGUGACUUCUCCGGAAGUGUUAUAGCCUAUUAUCACAUACACUGGGUGAGACUGAGGACUGCAGCUCGCCUUUAUGGCCGGCCUUCGGGCACGUUCGAGCU
rnacentral:rRNA from 2 species